UAGUCCAAUAAAUGUAUAUGAUUAAUUAGUGUCCAACAUUUCUGUUUUUCAGAUUCCAAUCAUGAAGGACCCUGGGUGGACUGGAAAUAUGUGGCCUGCAAACACUAAUACCCUGAGGCUGCCUGGGCCUCCUUCGCCACAUACAGACCCGAGGCUCCAGCACAGGGAAGGUGGCAAGGAGAGGCAACAGGUGACCUGUGCCAUUGACCCUCCCCGAGCUUUUGAGAAGAGGGAGUCUGCUGUGGGGUAUCCAGAGAGCCCAGCAGUUGGCCAAACCUGCAGGACACACGGACAGGAAUCCCCUCUCUCUGAGCACCCUCCUCCCAUCGUCCUCACCACUUCCUGCCGCA